rnacentral:rRNA from 1 species
AGUGAACGCUGGCGGUAGGCCUAACACAUGCCAGUCGAACGGCAGCACAGUAAGAGCUUGCUCUUACGGGUGGCGAGUGGCGGACGGGUGAGGAAUACAUCGGAAUCUACUUUUUCGUGGGGGAUAACGUAGGGAAACUUACGCUAAUACCGCAUACGACCUACGGGUGAAAGCAGGGGAUCUUCGGACCUUGCGCGAUUGAAUGAGCCGAUGUCGGAUUAGCUAGUUGGCGGGGUAAAGGCCCACCAAGGCGACGAUCCGUAGCCGGUCUGAGAGGAUGAUCAGCCACACUGGAACUGAGACACGGUCCAGACUCCUACGGGAGGCAGCAGUGGGGAAUAUUGGACAAUGGGCGCAAGCCUGAUCCAGCCAUACCGCGUGGGUGAAGAAGGCCUUCGGGUUGUAAAGCCCUUUUGUUGGGAAAGAAAGGCAGCAGGUUAAUACCCCGCUGUUCUGACGGUACCCAAAGAAUAAGCACCGGCUAACUUCGUG